CCCCAGGUCAAGCGGGACUACCCGCUGANU
rnacentral:rRNA from 1 species